rnacentral:rRNA from 1 species
AGUCCAGACUCCUACGGGAGGCAGCAGUGGGGAAUAUUGCGCAAUGGGCGAAAGCCUGACGCAGCGACGCCGCGUGAGGGAUGGAGGUCUUCGGAUCGUAAACCUCUGUCAGCAGGGAAGAACGGUCACUGUGCUAAUCAGCAGUGAAUUGACGGUACCUGCAAAGGAAGCACCGGCUAACUCCGUGCCAGCAGCCGCGGUAAUACGGGGGGUGCAAGCGUUGUCCGGAAUCAUUGGGCGUAAAGCGUUCGUAGGCGGUAUGUCAAGUCUGAUGUUAAAGCCCGGGGCUCAACUCCGGUUCGGCAUUGGAUACUGGCAAACUAGAAUGUGGUAGAGGUAAAGGGAAUUCCUGGUGUAGCGGUGAAAUGCGUAGAUAUCAGGAGGAACAUCAGUGGCGAAGGCGACUAUCUGGCACAUAACUGACGCUGAGGAGCGAAAGCGUGGGUAGCAAACAGGAUUAGAUACCCCAGUA